CGAAGAUGAAGCGCAUUAUGUACUCAAAUGAUCAUCAUCCUGGCAAAAGAUCAAGCAAACACAUAAAGAGUGCUUCCUCAUCUCUUGAUUUGAACAAUGAUAUUCUAAUGGAGAGUAUUACGAGUCUCAAGUCGUUUCAACAAAUAACUGGACCUUUUAUCUUGCAAUCAUUUAUGUAUCCACCGAUGCCAAAAUGACAAGUGAUCUUUACCAACUACAGUAUCUAGCACCUGUUGAAUGUUUAAAUUUCUGAAUUAGUGGCUACAAUGGACACCCGAAUAUGAGUUUCCCCGCAGUAUGGGUUGACAAGUAGAAGCUGGGUUGACAAGUAGAAGCCUCUCUGCCUUCAAUCACUUCUAUAGGUAAAAAUAAGCUAGAAAGAUGUCAUCUGAAAUUUGCUAUGGCAAUGAUAAUACAGGCUAUGACAAGUACUCAUCCAGGCUUCGUCAACUCUCUGCUCAGCAUUUCUACAGAAUUAUCCGUAAAUAGCUCCAAGUUUCUGGAACAAUAAAUAUCUAUAUUUAUAUCUAUAUAAAUAAAUAUAAUAAAUCUGAUCUGAAAAUAAACUUUAAUGACAAA